CCUACGGGAGGCAGCAGUGGGGAAUUUUGGACAAUGGGCGAAAGCCUGAUCCAGCAAUGCCGUGUGCAGGAUGAAGGCCUUCGGGUUGUAAACUGCUUUUGUACGGAACGAAACGGUCUUUUCUAAUACAGAGGGCUAAUGACGGUACCGUAAGAAUAAGCACCGGCUAACUACGUGCCAGCAGCCGCGGUAAUACGUAGGGUGCAAGCGUUAAUCGGAAUUACUGGGCGUAAAGCGUGCGCAGGCGGUUAUGUAAGACAGUUGUGAAAUCCCCGGGCUCAACCUGGGAAUUGCAUCUGUGACUGCAUAGCUAGAGUACGGUAGAGGGGGAUGGGAAUUCCGCGUGUAGCAGUGAAAUGCGUAGAUAUGCGGAGGAACACCGAUGGCGAAGGCAAUCCCCUGGACCUGUACUGACGCUCAUGCACGAAAGCGUGGGGAGCAAACAGGAUUAGAUACCCUGGUAGUCCACGCCCUAAACGAUGUCAACUGGUUGUUGGGUCUUCACUGACUCAGUAACGAAGCUAACGCGUGAAGUUGACCGCCUGGGGAGUACGGCCGCAAGGUUGAAACUCAAAUGAAAUUGACCGGNNGAGAGAGACGACGACGACGACGAGGGAGGAGG
rnacentral:rRNA from 1 species